GCUGACCUAAACGUAAAACAGCUUGCACUGCAAAACACGAAUAAAAAUAAAAAAUUAAACAAAAAGUAAAAGCUUUAGUGAGAAGUUCGUAGUUGUAAGAUCUUGCUUUGCCAUUAAGAAUGCUGGGCCUGGGAUUUAGCUCAGUAGUUAUGGCGCCUGCCUCAGAAGCGCAAGAUCCCGAGUUUUGAUCCCUGGUACCCCCGCCCCGCCCAAAUGCAGCAGUCUGGUAGGCAGAAACCUCCAUUCUCCAGGUCUGAAACUUUAGCCCAGUAUCUCUACCUCUUGUCAUAUUUUCUUACAUCACAAUUGCACCACACCUCCAUCCUCUCAUAAAAAUACUGGUAGGAAGCAUAUGGCCCUUAAAAGCAUUCGGGAAAGCUCCUCAUCAGAAAAAACCCUUAUGGUUUGUCAACACUCACACACCUGCUUCUUCCACCAGAGAGCGGUUGCUUUUGGUCCCCAGUGAAACGAAGGCUCCUCCCACACUCACAAGAAAGCUAUACCAGGCUUCAGUUCUUUCGCUUUAUUUUUUUUUUUUUAAAAACAAACAAAAAAUUAACUGGACACAAGUGUUUCCCCUUCCACCCUGACAUCUUCUUUAAAACCCCCUCCAUUUUCUUCUUCACUCACGUUAGAGAAAUUCUUAAUAGAAAAGGCCUUAGGAACUCAUUUCCGGGACUGUGGAGAAGACGGGCUGAGAGAAGAGCUAGCGGAGUUGGGUCGAAAUUUUUAAAUCCCUGCAUGGCAUGACAAUUACGUGCAUCUGUCUGCAAACAAUAAAACUGUUUGGAACGCACAAUGCUGCAGAGCAACGGAAGGCGCAGGAAGAAGCAGGCACCAGACAGCUGCCGAGAGCGCGAGUCACAAAGGCUGGCCGUGCGGCACGCGGGCUGGAGCCACAAGCCCGCCAGGCUCGCUGCAGCUUCAAAUGCAUCUGGGCCCAACGCUGAGCGGCUCCGCAAGCAGGGACCACCCAGAGGAAGAGAUACCUUCCCUCUCCAGUUUCUAUCUGCCCAUCAUCAAGUAUGAUCCUGAAUCCAUGCUCCCAUGCUGGCCACUCUAAGUCAUGGAGAAGACAAUGAGAAGGCUGGCAGGCCCACUAACCCCACACCAAAGGGGACAGAAGCUGUUUCCAGAGGAAGGAAUGUGGGCCAACAACUUGUGUGCUUCUCAGUGGAUGAUUGAACAAAGGCAAAGGAUAACUACUGUGUACCUCACCCUACAAGGCUGCAUUCUGUAGUAAAGAAAAAAGUUAAAACUUCCAAACCUCCUGUUGCCCCCUUUAUAAAUUUUUGUGCAUUUGGAAAAUGAUCUAAUGAAGCACAAUUGGUGUUUAAUGUUUCUUCGGGGUGCUGAUGAUAGGUGUAUUGGUGAUGCUAGGGACAGAGCUUUGAAGAAGUGAGAGGCGGUGGAAAACUGGUAGCACAAGAGCUGUGGAAAAGGUAGUACAUUCAAAGGCAGGGCAAAGGGCAAGGACAUCUGUCUGCUGGAAGAGUAUCGAUAAAGCAAGAACACAAAAGAGAGGGAAGAGGAGAAAGUGAAGAUAUAAACUGUGAGAGAUAGUGAGACUUCAUAAUGUUGUACAAGGUCGGUUUAUCCCAGGAAAAACAAGAGGCUGAAUGACUAGAACCAAGGAAGAGGUUAAUUGAUUGUUCUUAAAGGUUUUUCUCAAGGACCCUCGCUAAUGCCACAGAUCUAGUAACAUAUCAGUUUCUAUCCAAGCCCAAAGUGUAUUACUAAGCUUUCCUAUUGCUGAGACACAAUACCUGAUACCCACAAUUUAAACAAGGAAGCGUUUAAUUUAACUCCUGAUUUCAGGAGAUUCAGUCCAUGGUCAAAGGCAAAAACAUCAAGGUGGGACGUGUAGUGAAACAAAGCUACUUAGUUCAUGGUGGCUGGGAAACAGAACAGGGGAACAGUGCUUGAGAGUGAGGAACCAUGUUUAGUACACAAUCUCACAGCUCAGUGACCUACCCAGACACUCCCAGGAGUAUGCUUUACUAACCCACGAGGUAGUUCUUAAUCUAAUGAAGCUGGUAUAUCAGGAUUAACAGUCACACCAAGUCAGGGUGACCUGGGGUCCAGGCAGGCAAGAACCCUCUAAAAGGAACACUGAUAAAAGUUGACUAGAGAAAACCAGCAGUAUAGGUGAUGCUACAGUUGAGGCAGGGAGAGGAACCCCUUGACUAGGUGACAGGGGCAUCAAGGGGCAGUAGAAGACACGGAGCCUGUUUUCACAUGUCCAACUAUAGGCAAGACAGCUAUGUUAAAGGGCUUACUUCCAAACCUGUCCAAGUUUCCCCUCCUAGAUAGGUUCUAGAAAUACAGAAUUUCAAAACUGGGUGUAAAACCGAGAUAUUUACAUUGGACAUCUCAGUUCUGGAUCUAAUUCUGGGUAAUUCUGUUGACCUUGAUUCAGUGGCUUAAUAUCUCCCAGCUUUGGUUCCAUCAUCAAUAAAUGUAAGUAAUGAUAAAAAUCUCUGUCUAACCUCUUAGAAUUGCUGUGAUAACCAAGUGAUAGGAUGUGCUAUAUAAAUUUGUGGGGCUCAAUGGAAAA
rnacentral:lncRNA from 1 species